UCCCAACCGUUUCGUCGAGCAUGUAGCUGGUUUAAUAGCAGUAACUAAUGAAUCUCCUGCUGCUAUGUCUACACCACUACUUUUAUAUGAUAUCCACAAGAGGCCAAAAUAACACCAACAGCAAAUACAUUUUCUUGCCAUGAAAUUUGAGAUUCGUUCAACAAUCCAUCACAACAUGCCUGAAUAUUAAUGUACAGCAUAUUAAUUUUAAGAAAAUAUCACUACAUUAAAGUAUUUAUUACCUUCAUAAUUGUAAAUAAAUCUGAUUUCAAUAGUGGCAACACUACUUGUGUUUCCGGAUCCCCGAAUCUGCAGUUAAAUUCUAGAACUUUAGGUCCAUCCUUUGUUAACAUUAAUCCAGCAUACAAUACACCUAAAUAUUUUAACAUUAUAAAUUUGAAUAUAGUUAACUUAUCUUUGUAAAUUUCACCUAUCUUUGAAUAAUAUUAUAUUGUAUAUAACGGACCAACAAAUGGAAUCUUUUCUUCUCUGAGACCAUUAAUUGUUUUCUGUAGAACGUUUGCUUUCACCAAUUCAUAAUCUUCUUUCUGCAAUAAAGAACAUGGACAGUAAGCACCCAUACCACCAGUGUUUGGUCCCAUGUCAUCAUUGAAAAUUCGUUUGUGAUCUUGGGCAGGUGCCAUUGGUACAAUAGUUUUUCCUAUGAACAGAGAAUAGUUAUAUCAUCAAAAUGUAAUGCAAUUUUAUCUAUUGUUAAGUUUUUAUAUUGUACCAUCUGUAAAUGCAAGUACAGACACUUCUUCUCCCUCUAGUAACUCCUCUACAACUAUUGAUUCUCCAGCAGAUCCAAAUUUUUUUUUUGUUAAAAUCUCAUCUAUUGCAUUGCAUGCUUCUUGUCUAUCUUUAGCUACUAUUACUCCUUUACCAGCUGCUAAACCUGCAGCCUUUAUUACAAGAGCUGGAAAUGUUGCACUACAAUGAAGUACUAUGUUUAGAACAGUUUUUCAAAAUAAUUUAUGUGCAAAUACAAAUGUAUACAUACUUCAUAACAAAUUUCUUUGCUUCUUCAGCAUUAUUAAAUCCUUUCCAUUUUGCUGUAGGAAUUUUAUGUCUAUCCAUAAAUUCCUUUGCCCAAUAUUUAUCAGCUUCAAUUUUUGAUGGUGCUUUUUCAGGACCAAAACAAUGGAUUCCUACAUUUUUUAAUUCAUCGGCUAAACCAUUUGCUAAAUAUUCUUCUGGACCAACUACUACUAAACUCACUUUAUUGUCCUUACUCCAUUUUGAUACUUCCUGUUAAUUGACUAAUUUUAGUACAUUGUUAAUAUAUAUUGUUUCAAGGAAUAAAGACUACUAUAGAAAUA